CUGGACCUGAGAAUUUGGAUAUCUGUCCCUUAACUCUCUCACUGUGGAAGGCAAUGGGAAACACUCGUGUGGACUAAAUUGUGUUUUUUUACCUUGUUACUGUGAUGACAGUGUCCGGGGGACCAGGGGAUGUCUUUUUAAAAGAUUUUUGUGGUUUGUAGACUAAAAGAAGAUGGGGAAUUUGAGACUCUGAAGGAUUUCUACAGAUAAUGGGCCAAUGUCCAGGUGUACAAGCCUCAAAGAGAAAGCAAGUAAUUGGUUCACUGGAUCUGAUAUCCUGACAACUAACAAACAAUCUUACCUUUGAGACAAUAUUAGAGAGAGAGAGGGAGAGAGAGAUAGUGGGAGGAUAUCAUAUUUAAUCCUAUAAUUCAAAUCACAUGCUUGCAUAUAAUAAUAAUAAUAAUAUAGUGUGACAUUUCUCUUGUAUGGAUGUUAUGUGUGUGUAUAUUAUUGGGCAAUGGACCUUGAGGUACACAGAG